GGGGCUAUAGCUCAGUGGUAGAGUGCUUGCCUGGCACGCAUGAGGCCCUGGAUUUCAUCCCCAGCACCA
rnacentral:tRNA from 1 species